GCACGGGCGGCUGAGGGACCGCAGGGCCCCCGGGCCCGGCUGGGGUCUCCGCGGCCUGGCCUCGGGCCGGGGCCUGGGCGGGCCCCGCCGCAGCGGCUUCCUUCAGCCCUGAGGGAGGGAGGGAGAGUGGCGCCUCUCGGGGCGCUCGGCGCACUCGGGCGGGACUGUGCCUCCGGCGGCCUUUUCCCCAUGCGGAAGCCUAGGCAAAGCAAAUAGAAGCUUGGUGAGCUCUCGUUACCGAGUCAGUCUGACCUAUACCAUCAUCUUCAAACCCCCUGUCUGUCUCCUUAGGUCUCAGAAUAGCCCCAAAUGCAUACAUUUGUACUACAGAGAACUUCAUCUUGUCCCUCUGUAUGCACCUGUUGCUAUCUUGGCAAGGCCAAAUCCACUUCAGAUCCUUUACGUGGUCCCCCAAGGGCGUUGGUAUGUGCUAAGAGGAAGGAAGGAGACGCAGCUAAAGAGAUUACACAGGGAUGCGUGAGACUGGGCAUGCGUGUUCCUCUGGAAAAGGCUCCAACAGCUGCAUAAAGCAAGCCAUACGCCAGUUUUGGACACAGGCAGCCAAGUGCCCGAGCUCCUAUGUGUGCUCAGAGCCAACAAUAAGUUAACUGCGCAGAGCCAACAUUAAGAGUUGUUACGAGAGACGUUUUCCGCCCGGCACGUCCCGGUUUACGCCCUCUCCUCACCUCCACCUCUCCAGUUCACCAGAACUUUGACUUUGCUGUUUGCUCUGAUAGUUUGACCAAACAGCUUAUGAUUAAUCUAAUACAAUAUUUUUGUCAGUGACAACCAGCACCCCAAACUGAAAUUAUUGGUAAAAUUUAUUCUAAAAUGCAGUGAGUUUCUGGUCAGGGUCAAUGUGCCUGUUUGUAUAGGGCCCAGAACAUCUGGACAAUAAUUUCAGCUGGACUCAUGGACAAUAUUGCAAUAUAAAUAAAAACCAAAAGCCAUGCAAGAUUAAAACAACGUUUAAAAAUCAGACGAAGGCCACCCAGAAAACUCUGACGAGAAUGUCCUCUGAAGCCUUAUUCUUUUAGUUCCUGCAUGACAAUGUUUUGUUUUCCAGUAUAUGACCUUCCUCUAAUUAGAUUAUUUAAAUCUUUCAGUAUACAGAAAUUAUUCACACUUCCUCCCAGGCAUGAUUACAUUUGACAGCCUUAUCUAUUGUUUAGUAAAUACCUCCUUUUUUUUCUUCUCUUCUGAUGUUCUUCUGGAAACCAUGCACUUUACACCAGACAUCAAAGCUGUUCCUUCGGAAGCAGUACUGUGGGCAGCAGCAUUGCUUUUCUGAACGUGGAGCAUACUAGAUCUCCCAACAGCAGAGCCAUUUCAGGCAUAACAGCCAUUUCAAUAAAACAAUAAAGAGCUUUAAAUGCUAAAACUAAUGCAAUGGAAGUAAAAACAGCCAGAUAAGGCACUGCUUUUCAUUGCAGCCCCAUUGGAGAGAAAUUGUCUUGUAGCAUGACUUCUUUGAAGGGUUUUACUCAGCUGAGUUGCCCCAUUGCCUUUACGUGAACAGUUGUUCACAUAAAAUAAGGUGAAGAUUUGAUCCAGUGUUACAGUAUAGCUAAAAGCAAAUUUGGCUUAAUCUCUUCCCCCGACAUACUGAAGCCCAACAGAAGCAUACAGCCAGAGAGGGUGUCAGAGACAAGAUGUACUUGUGAUUCAAGUUGCAAGCUAAUAUUUGAUGAAGUGGGAAAAUGAUUAUUUGGAUUUUCUAUUUCAUCUAUAUGAAACUGAGGAUGGAAACAAGGCUGCAUGAAAUCACUAGGAGAGCUGAAGGAACAGGAUUUUUACUCACCAUCACCACAACAACAAAGCAGAUUUCGAUGUGUUAUAUGCAGUGCUUGGUGUAUUGUCCAGCCCUGUGGGGCCUUCUGUGGAUCAUUUUCUUGCUAAUCAUAUUCAGUUUAUCAUUUAUCAUUUCAUCUACAAGUUCUGCUCUAAACUGAGCUGCUACACCUUUUCUAAGAUUUACUUUUUAUAUCAAAGCAAUGGCUGUGACCUUCAGAAUGUUGUACAAUGGUGGGGUUUUUUGUUGGUCUGCUUAGGAAACAUAUUUUCUUGGCUCUAAUAUCUUCCUUUACAUUUUAAGGGUAUUUUUUGCACCAGAAGAAAUUAAUAAACUUCAAGAGUUUUAAAACAGGUACAAGUCUGAAAACUACAUAGUCACAGAAAUUAUUCGUCUGUUUCAUCAUUUAUAGCUUGGAGGACAUAAUAACAAAACCCAUAAAUGCGAAAGACUUUUUUUUUUAAAGCUUGCUACUUGUGAUCUUUGGUUAGAAAUUACUGCUGUAUUUUCAAUUAACAUUGUAUAAAAUAUUUUAUAAUAUCACUUUCCAUAUGAGCAAGAAGAGUGAAACCGUUAAAAAGCUGGAUAUAUAUGGUAAAUUAAUAUUUAUUGUCAUGUAUUGAAAUACAUUUGUUUCAGACACCCUCUUUGACCAAUGCUCUUGUCUGCAGAGGUUAAAAAGGUAAUGUGGAAGCCAGAUUCUUCUAGUUAUUAUAUUU